rnacentral:rRNA from 1 species
CCUACGGGAGGCAGCAGUGAGGAAUAUUGGACAAUGGGCGCAAGCCUGAUCCAGCCAUGCCGCGUGCAGGAAGAAGCAUCUAUGGUGUGUAAACUGCUUUUGUACAGGAAGAAACACUCCCUCGUGAGGGAGCUUGACGGUACUGUAAGAAUAAGGACCGGCUAACUCCGUGCCAGCAGCCGCGGUAAUACGGAGGGUCCGAGCGUUAUCCGGAAUCAUUGGGUUUAAAGGGUCCGUAGGCGGUUUAAUAAGUCAGUGGUGAAAUCUGGUCGCUCAACGAUCAAACGGCCAUUGAUACUGUUAGACUUGAAUUAUAAGGAAGUAACUAGAAUAUGCAGUGUAGCGGUGAAAUGCUUAGAUAUUACAUGGAAUACCAAUUGCGAAGGCAGGUUACUACUUAUGGAUUGACGCUGAUGGACGAAAGCGUGGGGAGCGAACAGGAUUAGAUACCCUGGUAGUCCACGCCGUAAACGAUGGAUACUAGCUGUUCGAAGCAAUCUGAGUGGCUAAGCGAAAGUGAUAAGUAUCCCACCUGGGGAGUACGUUCGCAGAAUGAAACUCAAAGGAAUUGAGG